rnacentral:rRNA from 1 species
UACAGAGGUCCCGAGCGUUGUUCGGAUUCAUUGGGCGUAAAGGGCUUGUAGGUGGCCAACUAAGUCAGACGUGAAAUCCCUCGGCUUAACCGGGGAACUGCGUCUGAUACUGGAUGGCUUGAGUGUGGGAGAGGGAUGCGGAAUUCCAGGUGUAGCGGUGAAAUGCGUAGAUAUCUGGAGGAACACCGGUGGCGAAGGCGGGUGAGCUGGG